rnacentral:misc_RNA from 1 species
AUAGCUUAAUCAAUGAAAAAGCAGCGCCAGCAAGUCGGGAGCGGGAGUCGGGAGGAUGACAAACAGAGAGCAGGAGCUGCUCGUGCAAAACGUGAAUGCGGUUUUAUUGAUUUUGUAAUAAAAAUGCGCGCGCAUCGCUCUGAUUUCUGCCAGACAGCCGAGAGCAGAGCUGGGUAGCUGGUUAGCUGGCGACAUGUUGUCGGCGGUCAGGAGAUGGAGAUGGAGAGAUGGUGACGAGCGUCAAGUACACGAGUGCAACCAAUAGAGCUGGCAGAGACAAAAGCAAAUGCCGUGGCCAAUUCAGUGCGAAAAUUGUGCAAAGCCAGGCAGCAGGGCCUGUGUGAAAAGGCAGCCCAAGUUCCAAGCAAAUGCCAGCUGGCAACUAAAUAGAAAAUAGCAAAAAAUAUUUAAUAAUAAUAAUUCAAACUAGCUGCUAGAUUGUUGUUAAUUACACAAAUUAAGUGCACGGAGCUGGCGACGGACAAGCUCCGGCCAACUUUUUAGUCUAAACUAGAAAAUUAGAAACUUACAAAAAAAAAAAAACACAAAAAUCAAUAAGUCAAGUUGUGUGUAAAAUUGAAAGCAACGCCCCCCGCACAGCGCCACACACACACACAUUGGAAAUAGAAAAAAAGUAAUCUCGCCAAGUCAAUUCCGGAUUAUAUAACAGCACGUCAAGGCGACAGGGCGUGGGCAGCAGCAGCGGGGCGUGGGGCGUGGAAUCAAUCGAUAGAACAAACAAGAUGCGCCAAUAAAUUGGCCAAGCGCACAAAAGCCAGGCCAUAAGCUAGAGCAAGGAGCAAACUCUGUCGAGGAUUAGCCAGUAGCAGGAGUAGAGCAGCGCAAUUAUGGGCAAGAAAAAGGUGGCCACCGAGGAUCUGGUGGUGCCGCCGCAGGAUACACGCAUCUGUGGCACCAUCUGCAUAUGCCAGAUGACGCUGGUGCUCAGCUCCGUGGCGCUGGUCUAUCUCACCGUGGCCAUUUAUAUGCCAUCGACCCGGGCCUUCAAGAGCGGCAUCGAUCCGACGCCCGUCAUGUGCACCACAACGCGGGCUGUGAACAAGGACAACUGCGAGUGGGGCAGCUGCGGCGAAUGGUGCCUGAGCAAAACCUCGGGCGCCUGCAUACAGAUCUAUGUGAAUCUGCGCAGCAACGGCACAAAUCUCACCUUCCAGAACUGCACGAAUUCGGCGAACAAGACGUGCUACGGCAUCGAUCAGGAUCGCGCGGACAAGGCGCGCUGCAUCAACGACGAGUGCAAGAAUCUGACGGGCACCUUUAACUGCACGGCGGGCCAGUGCCUGAACAUAACCGACGCCUUUGAGUGCAUCUUCCACAACAGCGAUGCGCCCGUCAAGUGCUCGGGUCGGCGCGGCAAGAUCAACUGCAUGGACAUCAGCGGAUUGUUCUCGUGCAGUCGUGGCACCUGCCGCAAGAUACGCACGCCGUACAAUUGCGAUAGACGCUGCGUGGACAUUCCGACGCGGAACAAGAACGUGGUGGUGCUCAGCGGGGACAAGGUGUAUCUGUCGCAGUGCCAGAAUGCCAUCAAUGCGGAGACCUUGGAGGAGGUGUGGAACGAGUCCAAUGACAAUGUGGCCAUGACAUCGUGCUAUUAUAUCAAGAACACGUCGGAUCGCGUGGAUGCGGUCGACUGCAUCAAUGGUUCCACGCUGGAGCACAGCAUGCUCAGCGAUCUGACCAACUUUACAUAUCUCAGUCAUUUGCAUGUGUCUGUCGCGACGCAGGUGCCGGAGAUAGCACCGCCCGAUGUGGACUUGACCAUUUCGAAUGAGUCCAAGCUGAUGAUCAAUUUGGAGGGUUGCGUUAAUACGCUGCAGGACGAGUGCAAGGAAUUCUUAAAGGUUUUCGGCCGUGAUGGCAGCGAUCAUAAUGCCCGGGCACGUUUCCCCUGCUUCUAUUCGCCGUCCAAGAAGGAUAUCGUGGUGGCCCGUUUCGAUCUGGAGGUCACCUAUCGCCAGUUUGUGUUCGCCUCGGUUGUGCCCUCGGUGCUGUUUGUCGUCUCCUGUUCGGUGCUAAUAAUGUGCCAGACCACCGUCUAUGUGGGCGACGAUGCCAAGAUGCGUUUCAAGGGCUGCGUCGACACCGCCUCCGUUUUGUCCAAGAACAAUCCCGGCGCACCGACCAGCGGCGACAUGGCUGGCGGCGGUGGCGACGAAGUCAUGGCCCUAUGAGAUCCGUCACGUAAGCUAACCCAAACCCAACCCAUAAGCCAAAUCGUAACUAAUCUAAAAUCUAUGCUACCAACGGAGUUCUCAGCAUUUGCCUUGCCAAACCGACAGCCUAUGGGGCAUUCCUCUGCUCCAGGAAGACAGUCCGGUGCAUCAGACGGGCGUCUUCGCUUUGCAGUAAAUGGAGUUGGGCAUUGUUAUCAAUCGCAACACUUUGUAAUCCUUCCAUCGAACUUCUAACUAGACCACACACACCUGAGCGGCUUGCAAGGACACUACCGAGCUAACAGCAAAUCACAAAGAAAACUAUAUAAAACACUACACCACAUAUGCGAGGCACGUGAAAAAUUCUCGAGUUGCGGAACAGAAUCAGA